rnacentral:rRNA from 1 species
AUUGAACGCUGGCGGCAGGCCUAACACAUGCAAGUCGAACGAGUGGCGGAAGGGUGAGUAAUGUCUGGGAAAAUGCCUGUUGGCGGGGGAUAACUACUGAAAACGGUAGCUAAUACCGCAUACCAUCAGAUGUGCCCAGAUGGGAUUAGCUUGUUGGUGGGGUAACGGCACACCAGGGCGACGAUCCCUAGCUGGUCUGGGAGGAUGACCGGCAAAACGGGAACUGAGCAACGGUCCAGACUCCUACGGGAGGCAGCAGUGGGGAAUAUUGCACAAUGGGGGCAAGCCGGCUGCAGCCAUGCCGCGUGUAUGAAGAAGGCCUUCGGGUUGUAAAGUACUUUCAGCGAGGAGGCGUUACCCGCAGAAGAAGCACCGGCUAACUCCGUGCCAGCAGCCGCGGUAAUUC